ACUCUGAAAGGCUGCAGUGAAAGUGCAGGGUCAGACAAGCAGGUUACUGGGAGAUCCCUGUGGAUCACAGAGGUGGGACAGAGUACAGGACACAAAGGGUUUGAAGAAAAUACACAAAAGACAGCUUUGAGAAGCACAGCACAUGCUGCAGUUGCUGCGCUCUUCUGCCCACCAGUUUCUGAAGAGCUAACAGCAUAAUGGGAUGCUAUAGUUAUGAAGAUAUGGUGAAAGAGGAGGCAGACCUUUAUAGAUCUCUUCCUCAUUCCACUUCAGCCUAUUUUCUGCAAUGUUGCUCCAUGAUGCAAAAAGCUGCUGACUAUCCUGAAGCUGCUUGUUAGCUCCACUUAAAAAUUUACUCCCAGAGAUUGCUGCCAGACCAUAAAUCCUCUGGUUCAGGUUCUGCGUUCUUCUACAGUCAGGUAAUAAGCUCUAAAACUUGAAAUCUCUGACACACUUAAGGAAGUCAGCCAAAGCCAUGCAUCAAGUCAGCAUCAGAAUGAAAAAAUAAAAAAAAUUUUAAAUGAGAUACUGUGAGGUGUGAGGCUGUUCAGAAAUGGGUUGCAAGAAUGAAAGGAAAUCUGUGCUACAGAACUGAAGACAAAAACUGCUGUGCUCCCCUGAGAAAGGUUGUAAGCUGACUUGAAACACUGUAAACAGACACAAGAAGAAGACUUUUAUGAUAAAGUGCAAUAAUCUAGUAUGCCAGAAGCAAAGGAUGAGAACGGAUAUUUAUUGAAUUUUUUCAAUGAAAACAUGAAUAUCAUGAAAUGUAAGUUUUACAAUAUAAUGAUUAUAUCAGAAAAAAAUAAAACAGGUGUAUAGUCUGAAAACUGAAUGCUUAGUAACUUUUCAUUAAUUAUGGAUUUCUUACUAAAGGAUUAUCAAACCUCAACAGACUUCAACUUCAGCAUUUCCUUUAGGGAGGUAAUGGAAUUACAUUGUGAUGCAUUUAGAUUUAUUUUGCUGAAUUCUUUGGGUUGAAUUGUUAUUAGUACUCAGCAAUACAUAGUGCAUAGGAAAAAAGGAAUGACAACUUUUCUUGCCACCAUUCCAAAGCAUAUAACUGUAUUUAGUUUACUCAAAAAAAGAAAAAAAAAAA